rnacentral:rRNA from 1 species
UAGGGAAUUUUGCGCAAUGGACGAAAGUCUGACGCAGCAACGCCGCGUGAGUGAUGAAGGUCUUCGGAUUGUAAAGCUCUGUUGGAUGGGAAGAAAGAUCUUGCAGCUAAUAUCUGCAGGGUGUGACGGUACCAUUCGAGGAAGCUCCGGCCAACUACGUGCCAGCAGCCGCGGUAAUACGUAGGGAGCAAGCGUUGUUCGGAAUUACUGGGCGUAAAGGGAGAGUAGGCGGAACGGUAAGUUAGAAGUGAAAUGUACGGGCUUAACCCGUAAUCUGCUUUUAAUACUGCCAUUCUUGAGUAUGGGAGAGGAUGAUAGAAUUCCAGGUGUAGCGGUGGAAUGCGUAGAUAUCUGGAAGAAUACCAGUUGCGAAGGCGGUCAUCUGGCCCAAUACUGACGCUGAGGCUCGAAAGCUAGGGGAGCAAACAGG